AUUCUGCCCAUGCGGGGAAGGAUGAGAAGCUUCGACUAAGGNNNNNCUCGAGCGUCAGCGAGAGAGCGUUGCCGCAGGCAACGACCCGAAGGGCGAAGCGCGCAGCGCUGAGUAAUCCUUCCCCCACCACCA
rnacentral:sRNA from 1 species